UCUCCGUUGGUGAACCAGCGGAGGGAUCAUUACUGAGUAACCGAGUUCCGAAGCCUUUCGCUCACCCGAUAGUUCUUGCACGCCCGAGUGGCCUCCCACCCGUCCAUCUCACCCCUAUGCUCACCACCGCGUGGGUCCCCCUUUUGCUUUUUCGGAUUUGGGCUUACCUUUUCACACAAUCUUUAUAUGCACUAUCGAAUGUAUUUUUUGUUUUUUCGAUCACGCAAUCAAUACAACUUUCAACAACGGAUCUCUACUCUCGCGCAUCGGUGAAGAACC
rnacentral:misc_RNA from 1 species